UGCCCUCGGGACUUCCCAAGCACCAUUGCGCCGCACUUGCGCAGUAGUGUAUUCUCGCCGAAUCUGCUGAACUGAGCUCAGAUUUAGCUUCGUAAACAAUGGAACAUCCAACUUUUAGAAGGGCCCCUAACGGGACCCUCCUGCUAAAGGCCUCGCCAGAGGCUCAGGCUCUGGGGCCCCGGCAGGCCGGCUACAGGGCCAGACCUUCCACUGGCUGCUGGAGAACGACGUGGGCUACGCCGUUAAUCUGGUUUCCUCCCACCAGAAGGAGCGAGAGAGGACAGGGUCUCAGUCCCCGCUGAUGGCCAACAAGGAUGCCUUCACCCGGUACUCCUCAGACUACCAGGACUUUGUGGAAGCCGUUAGGUUCCACAAUGCGUUUGAGGAGGCCCGGGUGAAGUCCCUCCAGCCUGGGCAGGAGGGACAGGCCCUUGUUGGCUUCGGCGACUUCAGAUUUGAGACCCUGCAGAGCCUGUACGAGGCUGAGGACCCAAAGAAGAUCCGAUUCGUCAACUACCUGAGGAGGAAGGCGCCAGCUCCAGGCACGCAGAUGGAGAACGCCGUCCGCUACGUCAGAAGCCGAGACAGACAGAGGAGUAACCCUGCUGCUGCUGCCACCACUGCUACCAGGACCUCCACCUCCUCCACCUCCACUGCUACCAGGACCUCCACCUCCUCCACCUCCACUGCUACUAGGACCUCCACCUCCUCCACCUCCACUGCUACCAGGACCUCCACCUCCUCCACCUCCACUGCUACUAGGACCUCCACCUCCUCCACCGUCAGCAGCAGCUCUGUCUCUGUCUCGGCUUUGAUGCAGGAUCCCAGAGCUGCAUCCCAAUUUGCAGCCUUUGUCUCUGGCCGGCGUUCUCUCUCUGCGGUGGAAAUGCAGGCAAAGAUAAAGAAGCUGGUGGUGUCUAAGCCUGCAUUUCCAGCCUCCUCCAGACGAGCUCUUUCCUCAGAACCACCUGAGGAGCCCAUGGAUGAAGAGCUGGUCCAGGCAGUAGUUGACGUAGAGGAGUAAGAACUGGAAACCAAACACCUCAGCAGUACAGGCCCCUCUCUCACUCCUCCCUCCUCCUCCACCUCCUGUUACCUCCUCCCUGCCACGGGGGCAAAAUGGAGAAACAGCAGGGCCAGAGGAGCCCACUGAUGAGGAGAUGCUGGAGGCCUCACAGGAGCCUCAUGCUCCUGUGGCCCAGGCUACACCUCUGGUGGCCCCACGGGUCCAGGCUGCCCUAUGGGUCCAGGCUGCCCCAGCGGUCCAGGCUCCACCACCACCACCACCUGCACUGACGGAGCAGAUGGCUGCCCCACCACCUCCUCCACCUGCUGGCAGUGCUGAGCUGCUCCCUGACUCCUGGAGAGCAGCUCUCACUGCAGAGCAGCAGCAGUGGAUCGGCCGGGUGCUGUUUUCCAGGGACAGCUCGGGGAGGCCACGGCUCAUCGGAGACCUGAACCUCUGGUGGUACCCUCCCCAGACCCGGCCGGUCUACAGUCAGCCUCCCGCGUCCCCCGACCCCUUCUUCGCAUGUCGGCUGUUCCUGUGGAUGCCACACAGGAUCUGGCGUCUGCAGCUGACAUGCCCCCAGCCUUCAUGCACAGGGUCCAUGAUGAAGGCUGGGCUGUACAGGACCAUCCGGAGGGUCCUGGACAUCGACGGCUGGUAUCUCAUGGCCACUGAGUACCUAGAGUGCCGUCGAUGUAAGAAGAAGGUCAGAGGCUGGUCACAGGGCAUCAUCAGGCAGCUGCCCCACACCUACAGCUGCCAAUUUCCUGCUGUACUCAUGUACAGGUUGUCCUGACCUGAGGGUGGUUGCACAGCUGAAGUCCCGCACUCUUGGCAACAGUGCCACUCAGCUGUGCAACACCCUGCGGGAGACCCACACUGACUCCUGGAUGCGGAGAGCGAUCCACUACCUCGGCGUGUGUGAGCAGUUCCUGGCCUUGUGCUCCGUGAGGGGGCCGUUUCCACCACCGCCCCAGAUGCCCCCUCUGCCGUCAGCCGAGUGGCUGCUGACGGUGUACGGCUACGACGUCCUAAUGUGGCUGGAGGAGUACAAGGCCAGGAUCACGUCCACCUUUGGAUCCAUCCUGAAGAUGGAUUAAACCAAGAAGGUGACGAAGAAGCUCGCAGGUAUCGCCUCGGACACGGCCGCGUGGGUUACUGUCGGUAACGAGCAUGGGCAGGUCCUCAUCAGUGUCCUCACCUCCUCAGAGGGCUCUGAGGGCCUGUCCAGCAUGGUGGCCGGAUUGAUGAGGCGAUACCAGCACACCGGGGUAGCUCCCCCCCAGCUCAUCUACGUAGACCGGGACUGCUGCAGCCGAGACGGCGUGUCCAAGACAGCUGCCUUAUUUCCAGAGUGGGGACAGCUGCUGGUGAGGCUGGACAUCUGGCACCUGAUGCGGUGCUUCGCAUCUGGUGUCACCACUGAGUCUCACCAGCUCUACCCCACUUUCAUGAGGCAGCUGUCUCAUUGCAUCUUCGAGGUGGAUUCUGGAGAUGCCCGCCGUCUCGCUGAGGCCAAGCGGUCCGAGCUGGAGGGGAAGCACGGGAUGGUCGGCCUGACGGACGCCGAGGUGAUCCGGAGCAUCUCCAAGGAGGAGUGGAGGCUCCACUGUCGUCGGCGGACGCGUGGGGCCGAGGAGACCGCACUCUUCGUCAACGACCUCCUGGACACCUUCAGCCUUCCGGCCGGACGCAACACCCUGGACAUCCCGCUGCUAGACGCUCUCCGCAUCCAGGACAUCUGGAAGACGCAGAGACGCCACCUCAGCUGCAUUCAGGACCCACCGGGCGUGCAGCUGUACAGCCAGACUGGCAGGCUGACAAAGGGCGGGGUCAGCCUGCCGGUUUAUCGCUGCGCCGGGGGCUCCACGUCCCUGGAGUCCUUCCACCUCCACCGGUUCAUCCCAGUUUACAGUGCCAGCGCCAAAUACUUCCAGGUGUUCCUGGUUGAUGGACUGGUGAGGUGGAAUGAGGACAGAGCAGCAGCAGCUGCACCUCCGGUUGCAGCUGAGGAGCAAGUGGCGUCUCUGCGCUCCUACUGUGGCCACCUCAAGCACAUCCUGAACCAGAAGAGCCAACGGGUGCUUGGCCUUCACAUGUUUCAGGACUUCACCAGGCCUGCUGCGUACACAGGUGAGCUCAUCGGGGUGGAGUACCUGUACCAGCAGACCGGACGUGUGCUUGAGGAUGUCAGUCUGGACCCUGACGCUCCGGACGAGGCUGCUGCCAUCCAGGCGCUGGAGGAGGCGGAUGAGGGGUUCGAGGACGAUGUCGGGGACCCCACGGUCUUCGAGCCAGAGCCCCCCUCCGCCAUCACAGCGGCAGCAGCCCGGUCAGGUGAUCCAGCUGACGCACCCAGGUCUGAGCCAUCCUGUCCGGCCGCCCCUGACCAGGACGCCCCUCCUGAUGCCCGGAAGGACCAACUCCGGCUGCCCCAUACUCCUCCGACUCUGAGGAGGAGAUCCAGGGUCCUGAUGGUCAGCCGGGAUACCAACAUGUCCUGAAGUUGGCCCAGGCCCUGGUGGAGAUCCGGAACCUUCAGGGGCUCUCUGACAGCAGGGUAGACAGGCUCAUUGCACUCUGGCAACGCCUGCCAGAGUGCAACAAGCGCCGAGUCGUCUACCCUGCGAGACACCAGGAGAGGCAGCCCAUGGGGCGGUUCAAGGCAGCGAAGGGGAAGAACACCUCCUGUCCUGGAAAGGAGAGUCUCCAACGCUGCCUGCUCGGACAGAACGCGGGCCCUGCAAACUGGCCCAGCGCCAGUCGCCUGGUCGAGGCCAUUUGCAGCCAGCUCUGCCGUCUCCACCCCGCCACAGCCCGUGUCGGUGGGGUCCCAAAGACCCGGUGGUCCCUGGUCCUCACCGACUACGUGGCCAUCAGAGAGGCAGUGCUGGUGUGCCCGCGUCUGAUGGCUCAGACCACCAUCCAGCUCUUUGAGCUCAACCAGAGGACCCUCUCUCAGUGGUUCUCACGUCGUCAGAAGGCCUGGAAGAGGACUGUGCUGGAGCAGGGAACUGGCAUCGUCCCUGCUCUAGCAGUAGCAGAUGAGCCUCUCCCUGCUGCCAAAGGGCUGUCCCUGGUGCAGGUGGGACAGGGACAGCCAUUCGUGUUCCCUGGACCUGAGGAGCAGCCUGGACCAUCAGCUGGAGGUCAGCCAGCCCCUCCUCCUCCUCCUCCUCCUCCUCCUCCUCCUCAUCAGCAUCCUCCAGCCAUCGGCUCUGCUCCUGCAGCCGCUCCUCUUCCUGGACUGACUCAGCUGCCAAGGACGACGGCUUACAGGAAGAGGAAGGCAGCCGAGGAGGCUGCUGCGGCUGCUGCUGCGGGAGAGGGCCCUCCACCACGGACUAAAGCCCGCCGGCAGACUGCACAGUACACCUGCAGUAAGUGUGGCCAGCUCAAACGGCUGGACACUGGCCACACACGCAUUGCAGGUGUGUCCUACUGUGCAGCUGUCGGCGGGAUGACUGUAGAGGAGUGGAGGGAAAAUAUGAGGAGGCCUCCAGAGGAGAAAACAGACUCAAUUUUUUUUUUCGUUAAAAUUAUUUUUGGUUAAAAACAUGUUCAGAUAUAUGUAUGUAUGUGUAUAUGUAUGUAUGUGUAUAUGUAUAUAUAUAUAUAUACACACACAUAUAUAUAUAUAUAUAUAUAUAUAUAUAUAUAUAUAUAUAAAUAGAAUUUAUUAAAUAAAAAGAAUGUCAUCUGC
ensembl:lncRNA